rnacentral:tRNA from 1 species
AGCUGCUGGCGCGGGCGGAGCGGCCGAUCUUCUAUGUCGGCGGUGGAGUGAUCAACUCCGGCGAUCGCGCCUGCGAGCUGCUGC